UACGAAGGGGGCUAGCGUUGUUCGGAAUUACUGGGCGUAAAGCGCACGUAGGCGGCUUGUUAAGUUAGGGGUGAAAUCCCAGGGCUCAACCCUGGAACUGCCUUUAAUACUGGCAAUCUCGAGUCCGAGAGAGGUGAGUGGAAUUCCUGGUGUAGCGGUGAAAUGCGCAGAUAUCAGGAGGAACACCAAUGGCGAAGGCAGCUCGCUGGAACGGUACUGACGCUGAGGCGCGAAAGCGUGGGGAGCAAACAGG
rnacentral:rRNA from 1 species